GGGCCUAUAGCUGAGACGGAUUAGCACCGAGCUUUUAACUCGGGGAGGUCGGAUCGUUACCGGACUGGGCCCA
rfam:Mycobacterium phage Tonenili, complete genome.